rnacentral:rRNA from 1 species
AGAGUUUGAUCAUGGCUCAGGAUGAACGCUAGCUACAGGCUUAACACAUGCAAGUCGAGGGGCAUCAGUUUGGUUUGCUUGCAAACCAAAGCUGGCGACCGGCGCACGGGUGAGUAACACGUAUCCAACCUGCCUCAUACUCGGGGAUAACCUUUCGAAAGAAAAUUAAUAUCCGAUAGCAUAUAUUUCCCGCAUGGGUUUUAUAUUAAAGAAAUUCGGUAUGAGAUGGGGAUGCGUUCCAUUAGUUGUUGGCGGGGUAACGGCCACCAAGGACUACGAUGGAUAGGGGUUCUGAGAGGAAGGUCCCCCACAUUGGAACUGAGACACGGUCCAAACUCCUACGGGAGGCA